AACGAACGCUGGCGGCGUGCUUAACACAUGCAAGUCGAACGGAAAGGCCCUGCUUUUGUGGGUUGCUCGAGUGGCGAACGGGUGAGUAACACGUGAGUAACCUGCCCUUGACUUUGGGAUAACUUCAGGAAACUGGGGCUAAUACCGGAUAGGAGCUCCUGCUGCAUGGUGGGGGUUGGAAAGUUUCGGCGGUUGGGGAUGGACUCGCGGCUUAUCAACUUGUUGGUGGGGUAGUGGCUUAUCAAGGCUUUGACGGGUAGCCGGCCUGAGAGGGUGACCGGCCACAUUGGGACUGAGAUACGGCCCAGACUCCUACGGGAGGCAGCAGUGGGGAAUAUUGCACAAUGGGCGGAAGCCUGAUGCAGCAACGCCGCGUGCGGGAUGACGGCCUUCGGGCUGUAAACCGCUUUCGCCUGUGACGAAGCGUGAGUGACGGUAAUGGGUAAAGAAGCACCGGCUAACUACGUG
rnacentral:rRNA from 1 species